UGAACUAUUUGAAGUGAUGGGAACCCCAAG
rnacentral:piRNA from 1 species